UAUACACACCCACUAUCGUUGUACAUCAAGUUACUGCUGUGUUCGUCCCACACAAAAUACUGAAGGUUGCUAAGGAAUUAAUGAAGAAAUUAUAGUGUAUGUUGAGUUACUCUGUAUUUUGCUAUUGAAAUUGAUUGACAAUCCAAGUUUGCGCCUUUAUUUCAGUUUGUAAUUAUUUGUACACCUUUGUUCCUGGCUUCUUGUUCUACUAAUUUCUCUGUGUCUCGCUCCUUCUCUGUUAAGUCUAUGGCGAUUCUGACCUUUCAAUAGAGGUUAUAAUUAAACGGUAAGAACCUAUGCAUCGAAGGCUCCUCUUAUUCUGCUUAACUCUAGGUUAUCCACUGAAACCUAGCUCAAACUCUGCAAGCUCAUUUAUUUGCUCUUAAAUAUUUUUCUUUGUCAUAAGAAAACUAUUAUUGUUAGUUAUAUCAACUACUGCUUUCUGUUAAUUGCACAAAGAAAAAUAUUAACAUAAAAUUUGAUUAUAUCCUAAAGCGAUUGUGAAGUUUCUAAUUGCUUUCUUUGUUGCAGGUGACGGCCUAAGUUAUGGGUUUAUGGAUCACUGGCUUCUCUUGCCAUCUCAAAGCCUCAUCUGCCCAACACCACUUAGAUCAUAACACUCUUUCCAUUCAUGUAAAAUAUUCUUAUAAUGGAUUCUGAUAAAAUUUGUAAUCACAAAAUAUUUUAAAAGUUAAAAUUGUGUGUCCGCAGUCUAGCUUAAAAUUGUAUUUUUAUUCUUUUUGAUGAGUAAAUAAUUUUAUUAGAAAGAAAAAGCACCAAAAGAAUAGGUGUAAAUAAUAACAAAACCCCACACGUAACACAAUAUUCAUGAACCCCACAUGAUCAGUCUUGAACUAGGCCCUUUUAUUGGUUAAAUGUUUCCAAUAUUACAAAUCAUAUAGCCAUGAAUGAUACCUAUUGUUUGUAUUAAGUACAUCGCCAUAGGAAUUGAUCAAUUUAUGACAAGCUAACUUUAGUUUUCAUGUCAAGAAUCGCGCUGAUCUUGCCAGCUUAGGUAGAAUAUUUGGUUGGAGUCGGCUGUCUACAUCACACCCUUUGCUGUGAACGCGGGAUGCUUUGUGCACCGUGCCGCCCUAUAGAUUUAUAAAUUACGAACAACUAAAGUGGAAAAUAGUUCAAGUAAAUCGGAUAAUGUGACCUUAUUCAUCUUGUUGUUGCCAAAUUCUGGCCAUGGACAUGUCUUAUAUAAACAUGCUUUCUAGUUCUCUAUUCUAACAUUCAGACCCAAAUUCUGGCCAUGGACAUGUCUUAUAUAAACAUGCUUUCUAGUUCUCUAUUCUAACAUUCAGACCCAAAUUCUGGCCAUGGACAUGUCUUAUAUAAACAUGCUUUCUAGUUCUCUAUUCUAACAUUCAGACCCAAAUUCUGGCCAUGGCCAUGGACAUGUCUUAUAACUGUCAUUUUCAGGAAGCUGCUAGGAGCAGAAGAGGAAAAGCAAAGCAUUCCCAGUGGAGGAACUAUGAUGAUUUAAAUGAAUACUUUUGGUCAGCGGACUGCUUCAGGUUAGGUUGGCCCAUGCGCGCUGAUGCUGAUUUCUUUUGCCUCCCUGUGGAAGAACUUCGUGCUGAGAGAAAUGGGCCACUCUUUAUGUGAUUCUUAAUUGGAAAGCUAGGCACAGCAUGUCAUUCUAUGUUAAACUACGAUACAUAUUGAAGGUCAUAGCUGCAGCUGCUUGGGUGGUCAUUUUACCUGUUACAUAUGCUUAUACAUGGGAAAUACCUCCUUCAUUUGCCCAAACCAUUAAAUAUUGGUUUGGUAACAACUCAAAUUCUCCUAAAAUACCUCCUUCAUUUGCCCAAACCAUUAAAUAUUGGUUUGGUAACAACUCAAAUUCUCCUAAAAUACCUCCUUCAUUUGCCCAAACCAUUAAAUAUUGGUUUGGUAACAACUCAAAUUCUCCUAAAAUACCUCCUUCAUUUGCCCAAACCAUUAAAUAUUGGUUUGGUAACAACUCAAAUUCUCCUUCACUGUUUAUACUGGCUGUGGUAGUCUACUUGUCUGCCCAAUAUGCUCGCUGCUCUGCUCUUUCUUUUUCCCUUCGUUCAUCGAUUCCUAGAGAGAUCACACUACAAAAUUGUGAUGCUGAUGAUGUGGUGGUCACAGAAAGCAGAGUCAAGAGGAUGCUGUGCAACCUGGAUUUCUUUCUGUCUCUCUUCCUGGAUCAAGAGUGAGUAAGCAUGAUUGAUGCUAGGAAAAGGUAUGGUCAUGAGAAUAUUGCUUUUCACUCAUGAAUAAGUAUCGUUCAGCCCCAUCAGGAACUGAAUAAUCCUUCCAUCAUGCUAAGAUCUCAGAGAUCUACUCUUUCCUCCACAAGAGCACUCACAACUACAGUGAGUACAGGUAUCAAAACUUUCCAACUCAUCCCAGAUUUUCUUAAACUUUGUGUAAUACCCAGCAAUAUCAGAACUUCCCUGAACUAAAUUGCUAAGUUCCUUCUGCAGCUAAUAAAGCAAAGCUCCAUUGCUUUGACCAAAUCUAUCUUCUAAUUCCUUCCAGAUUUCUUUAGCAGUCUUAGAAUAAAGGACACUCUCAGCAAUCUGCUUUGAAAGAGAGUUCAGCGGCCAUGAUAUUACCAUAUCAUUGCAUCGACUCCAUGCCUUGAAAGAGGGUGAAUCUGCAGGUGGCUAUGUGAUCGUCGCAUCUAUGAAGCCAACCUUAUUUUUAGCCGAGGGAGCUAUGAGGACUGUCCUACGCCAUCCUCCAUAUCCCUUUUCAUCAAAGAUGGAAUUGACAAGAAUCAUCUCAGGUGAAUCUGAAGGAUGAAGGUGAAAGGGAUGAGAGCUAUCAUUUGUGAUAGUGAUUUGAGGGGAUUGGAUUGUGGAAGGACUUCCAGCAGGCAGUGUAACAGAGGGAUCGUCAGUGACCGCCAUUGAAGAAGUCCAAGAGAAAACUUGAGCAAGAAGAUAGGAUCUAGACCUUUUGCUGUGAUACCAUAACCGAAACGAAAGUUGUAAUGGAGAACUUUUUGUUGUCUAUUUCAUUCAACUGUGUACAAGUAUUUAUACAAAGCAAAAGGAAUAAAAAUCUGUUAUGCUA